rnacentral:sRNA from 1 species
AAGGAUCAUUACCGAGUGAGGGUCCCUCGGGGCCCAACCUCCCAUCCGUGUUGUCCUGACACCUGUUGGUUCGGCGGGCCCGCCGUGGUUCACGCCCCGGCCGCCGGGGGGUUCACGCCCCCGGGCCCGCGCCCGCCCAAGACCCCUGGAACGCUGCCUGGAAGGUUGCCGUCUGAGUAUACAAUCAAUCAAUUAAAACUUUCAACUACGGAUCUCUUGGUUCCGGCAUCGAUGAAGAACGCAGCGAAAUGCGAUAAGUAAUGUGAAUUGCAGAAAUCCGUGAAUCAUCGAAUCUUUGAACGCACAUUGCGCCCCCUGGCAUUCCGGGGGGCAUGCCUGUCCGACCGUCAUUGCUAACCCUCCAGCCCGGCUGGUGUGUUGGGCCGCCGUCCCCCCUCCCCGGGGGACGGGCCGGAAAGGCAGCGGCGGCGUCGCGUCCGGUCCUCGAGCGUAUGGGGCUCUGUCACACGCUUCAGUAGAACC